rnacentral:rRNA from 1 species
AUUGAACGCUGGCGGCAUGCUUUACACAUGCAAGUCGAACGGGGUGAAGGGGCAACUCUUCAUUCAGUGGCGAACGGGUGAGUAAUGCAUCGGAACGUACCUCGUAGCGGGGGAUAACUCGGCGAAAGCCGUGCUAAUACCGCAUAUGCUCUACGGAGGAAAGCAGGGGACCUGAGAGGGCCUUGUGCUAUGGGAGCGGCCGAUGUCCGAUUAGCUAGUUGGUGGGGAAUGGCCUACCAAGCGACGAUCGGUAGCUGGUCUGAGAGGAUGAUCAGCCACACUGGGACUGAGACACGGCCCAGACUCCUACGGGAGGCAGCAGUGGGGAAUUUUGGGCAAUGGGGGCAACCCUGAUCCAGCCAUGCCGCGUGCGGGAAGAAGGCC